rnacentral:rRNA from 1 species
ACGAACGCUGGCGGCGUGCUUAACACCUGCAAGUCGAACGGAAAGGCCCUGCUUUUGUGGGGUGCUCGAGUGGCGAACGGGUGAGUAACACGUGAGUAACCUGCCCUUGACUUUGGGAUAACUUCAGGAAACUGGGGCUAAUACCGGAUAGGAGCUCCUGCUGCAUGGUGGGGGUUGGAAAGUUUCGGCGGUUGGGGAUGGACUCGCGGCUUAUCAGCUUGUUGGUGGGGUAGUGGCUUACCAAGGCUUUGACGGGUAGCCGGCCUGAGAGGGUGACCGGCCACAUUGGGACUGAGAUACGGCCCAGACUCCUACAGGAGGCAGCAGUGGGGAAUAUUGCACAAUGGGCGGAAGCCUGAUGCAGCAACGCCGCGUGCGGGAUGACGGCCUUCGGGUUGUAAACCGCUUUCGCCUGUGACGAAGCGUGAGUGACGGUAAUGGGUAAAGAAGCACCGGCUAACUACGUG